GGAUGGUCUGAAGGUAAUGAGUUAUCCCAACUGACUGUUCACAGUCAGUUACAGAUUGAACUUGUUCUACUCUUUCGCCCCCUUCUCACUAUUGCACUUAACUGGAAA
ensembl:Y_RNA Y_RNA Y RNA